UACGUAGGGCGCGAGCGUUUGUCCGGAAUUAUUGGGCGUAAAGAGCUCGUAGGCGGCUUGUCACGUCGGGUGUGAAAGACCGGGGCUUAACUCCGGUUCUGCAUUCGAUACGGGCUAGCUAGAGUGUGGUAGGGGAGAUCGGAAUUCCUGGUGUAGCGGUGAAAUGCGCAGAUAUCAGGAGGAACACCGGUGGCGAAGGCGGAUCUCUGGGCCAUUACUGACGCUGAGGAGCGAAAGCGUGGGGAGCGAACAGG
rnacentral:rRNA from 1 species